GAAUUUUCCGCAAUGGGCGAAAGCCUGACGGAGCAACGCCGCGUGAGGGAUGAAGGCCUCUGGGCUGUAAACCUCUUUUCUCAAGGAAGAAGACCUGACGGUACUUGAGGAAUAAGCCACGGCUAAUUCCGUGCCAGCANCCGCGGUAAUACGGGAGUGGCAAGCGUUAUCCGGAAUUAUUGGGCGUAAAGCGUCCGCAGGCGGCCUUGUAAGUCUGUUGUUAAAGCGUGGAGCUCAACUCCNUUUGAGCAAUGGAAACUACAAGGCUUGAGUGUGGUAGGGGCAGAGGGAAUUCCCGGUGUAGCGGUGAAAUGCGUAGAUAUCGGGAAGAACACCAGUGGCGAANGCGCUCUGCUGGGCCAUAACUGACGCUCAUGGACGAAAGCCAGGGGAGCGAAAGGGAUUAGAUACCCCUGUAGUC
rnacentral:rRNA from 1 species